rnacentral:RNase_P_RNA from 1 species
AGGGCUGGCCAAGCAGCCGCGGGACCCGGAGAGAAAACCGGGUCUCGAGGAAAGUCCGGACACCGCAGGGCAGGGUGGUCGGGAACCCGACCCGGGGAAACCCGCGGGAAAGUGCCACAGAAACACACCGCCUAAGCGACGGAUCCGGUGGUCCACCCCCGGGGGGACCAUCUCACUCCGUAGCCGGCAAGGGUGAAAAGGUGCGGUAAGAGCGCACCGGCGGCGUGGCGACACGCCGGCCAGGCAAACCCCACCCGGUGCAAGGCCAAGCAGGGACGUUGACGCUGCCCGCCGAGUCCCAGGUCGGCCGCAGGGCCGAAAGGCCCGCCCCGAGCCCCCGAGGCGCGGGGCAGAUGGAUGGCUGCUCACGACAGGAUCCGGCUUACCGGCCAGCUAAGG